rnacentral:rRNA from 1 species
GAUGAACGCUGGCGGCGUGCCUAAUACAUGCAAGUCGAACGAACGGACCAGAAGCUUUCUUCCCUGAUGUUAGCGGCCGACGGGUGCGUAACACGUGUAUAACCUACCUCUAAGACUUGGAUACCUUCGGGAAACCAUAGCUAAUACCGGAUAAUAUUUUGAACCACGUUGUUCCCACGUAAAAUACGCUCUUUGUGUCGCUAAUAGCUGGAUCCGCGCUGUAUUAUCUAGUUGGUAAAGUAACGGCUUACCCACACAACGAGGCAUAGCCGCCCUGCGAGGGUGAUCGCCUAAGCUGGAACGGAGACACGGUCCAGACUCCUAGGGGAGGCAGCAGUAGGGAAUCUUCCCGAAUGGGCGAAAGCCUGACGGAGCAACGCCGCGUGAGUGAUGAAGGCCUUCGGAUCGUGAAACUCUGUUAUUAGGGAAGAACAUAUGUCUAAGUAACUGUGCACAUCAUGACGGUACCUAAGCAGAAAGCCACGGCUAACUACGGG